rnacentral:rRNA from 1 species
CGAGCGGGGCAUCGGCCAGCACUGAGCAUCCGGUGAACAGAGCGCGGCGAGCGGCACAGGCGAAGCCUGUAACGCGAACCAAGCGAAGGAACACGAGGGUGUUGAGUGCUGGACGAUGUCUAGCGGCGGACGGGUGAGUAACGCGUGAGCAACCUGCCUUACACUGGGGGAUAACGUCGGGAAACCGGCGCUAAUACCGCAUAAGACUCCGGGGUCGCAUGGCCCUGCAGUCAAAACUCCGGUGGUGUAAGAUGGGCUCGCGUCCAAUUAGCUAGUUGGUGAGGUAACGGCCCACCAAGGCGACGAUUGGUAGCCGAACUGAGAGGUUGAUCGGCCACAUUGGGACUGAGACACGGCCCAGACUCCUACGGGAGGCAGCAGUGGGGAAUAUUGGGCAAUGGGCGCAAGCCUGACCCAGCAACGCCGCGUGAAGGAUGAAGGUUUUCGGAUCGUAAACUUCUUUGAUCGGGGACGAAAUUGACGGUACCCGAGGAACAAGCCACGGCUAACUACGUG